GACGAACGCUGGCGGCGUGCUUAACACAUGCAAGUCGAACGGAAAGGCCCUGCUUUUGUGGGGUGCUCGAGUGGCGAACGGGUGAGUAACACGUGGGUAACCUGCCCUUGACUUUGGGAUAACUUCAGGAAACUGGGGCUAAUACCGGAUAGGAGCUCCUGCUGCAUGGUGGGGGUUGGAAAGUUUCGGCGGUUGGGGAUGGACUCGCGGCUUAUCAGCUUGUUGGUGGGGUAGUGGCUUACCAAGGCUUUGACGGGUAGCCGGCCUGAGAGGGUGACCGGCCACAUUGGGACUGAGAUACGGCCCAGACUCCUACGGGAGGCAGCAGUGGGGAAUAUUGCACAAUGGGCGGAAGCCUGAUGCAGCAACGCCGCGUGCGGGAUGACGGCCUUCGGGUUGUAAACCGCUUUCGCCUGUGACGAAGCGUGAGUGACGGUAAUGGGUAAAGAAGCACCGGCUAACUACGUGCCAGCAGCCGCGGUGAUACGUAGGGUGCGAGCGUUGUCCGGAUUUAUUGGGCGUAAAGGGCUCGUAGGUGGUUGAUCGCGUCGGAAGUGUAAUCUUGGGGCUUAACCCUGAGCGUGCUUUCGAUACGGGUUGACUUGAGGAAGGUAGGGGAGAAUGGAAUUCCUGGUGGAGCGGUGGAAUGCGCAGAUAUCAGGAGGAACACCAGUGGCGAAGGCGGUUCUCUGGGCCUUUCCUGACGCUGAGGAGCGAAAGCGUGGGGAGCGAACAGGCUUAGAUACCCUGGUAGUCCACGCUGUAAACGGUGGGUACUAGGUGUGGGGUCCAUUCCACGGGUUCCGUGCCGUAGCUAACGCUUUAAGUACCCCGCCUGGGGAGUACGGCCGCAAGGCUAAAACUCAAAGGAAUUGACGGGGCCCCGCACAAGCGGCGGAGCAUGCGGAUUAAUUCGAUGCAACGCGUAGAACCUUACCUGGGUUUGACAUGGAUCGGGAGUGCUCAGAGAUGGGUGUGCCUCUUUUGGGGUCGGUUCACAGGUGGUGCAUGGCUGUCGUCAGCUCGUGUCGUGAGAUGUUGGGUUAAGUCCCGCAACGAGCGCAACCCUUGUUCACUGUUGCCAGCACGUUAUGGUGGGGACUCAGUGGAGACCGCCGGGGUCAACUCGGAGGAAGGUGGGGAUGACGUCAAGUCAUCAUGCCCCUUAUGUCCAGGGCUUCACGCAUGCUACAAUGGCUGGUACAGAGAGUGGCGAGCCUGUGAGGGUUAGCGAAUCUCGGAAAGCCGGUCUCAGUUCGGAUUGGGGUCUGCAACUCGACCUCAUGAAGUCGGAGUCGCUAGUAAUCGCAGAUCAGCAACGCUGCGGUGAAUACGUUCCCGGGGCU
rnacentral:rRNA from 1 species